AUAUCUCUGUAGAGUCUGCAUAUCAAUAAGCGGAGGAAAAGAAACUAACAAGGAUUCCCUUAGUAACGGCGAGUGAAGCGGGAAGAGCUCAAAUUUGAAAUCUUCAAGGUUUUACCUUGACGAAUUGUAGUUUAAAGAAGUGUUUUCUGUUGAGGUUUCGGUAAAAGUUCUUUGGAAUAGGACAUCAUAGAGGGUGAGAAUCCCGUAUUUGACCUUUACUUUUCAACUGUGUGAUACACUUUCAAAGAGUCGGAUUGUUUGGGAAUGCAGUCCAAAAUGGGUGGUAAAUUUCAUCUAAAGCUAAAUAUUGGCGAGAGACCGAUAGCGAACAAGUACCGUGAGGGAAAGAUGAAAAGAACUUUGAAAAGAGAGUUAAACAGUACGUGAAAUUGUCAAAAGGGAAGCGUUUGACACCAGUGUUGUUUUCUCGAAAAUCAAUUAAAAAUGGCUUGAUUUUGUGUUGUAUUGACCUUAAAAGCUUUCUUCACUUUUUUCAUGUCUUUUUUAAUGCACUUUUCGUUUAACAAGUCAACAUCAGUUUCUUUUGUUGUAAAAAGGUCAUUGGAAGGUGGCUUUCUUUUCGGAGAAAGUGUUUAUAGCCUUUGACUUCUGCAAUCGGAGAGACUGAGGUCUGCAGCGUAGAUCCUUCUGGAUUAGAUUCAUUUGUGCUAAGUUACAACCGUUUAUAGACAACUUGUUGACUAUAUUCGAUCCUGUAGCUUACUCGCUUAUGUAAUUUUACCUACGCUUAGGAUGUUGAUAUGCAUGACUGAUAU
rnacentral:rRNA from 1 species